UAUUUCAGAUAUGUUUGGAAUGGGGU
rnacentral:piRNA from 1 species